CAGAAAUGAAUAGACUGGUUGUUGUUACCUAAGUUUAGAAUUUGCUUACAGUAAAACGCAAAUUACAACCACAAAUCUGAAAUUAGGGUUUUGUCAUCCACUAAAUCAUUCCUCAUAAUGAUUUAAACAAACCCUUUAAAGGAAUCAAAGAUCUCUGAGACUUGAAUCAGGCGUUGCACUUAUAGUGAUGAAUCCUAAUUUGCUUUGUUGGGCAGAAGGCUAAAUUGUUUUGUUAAAGACUGAAGUGAUGUUGUCGGGUCAUGCAAUUGAUAUACGUGGCUAUGCUCGACCAAAUGAACUUUUACUAGAAGGUCCUGCAUCAGAGUUAGAAGAUGAUGAAGCAGAAAUUUCAGGGCAGGUUCUUUAUGAAGCCUCCUUUGAAGACCUUGCAAGAAAUUAUAUACAGUAUGACUCAGUUAUAUGGGUACUAAUAUCAUUGCUGUUGGUUUUAGCGUGGGGAGUUGGUCUUAUCAUGCUUCUAUAUAUACCUGUCAGAAGAUAUGUGCUGCGUAAAGAUUUCUCCUCACGACGGUUAUAUAUUACACCUAAUGAAAUAGUUUACAAGGUUACGAGACCGUUCUUUCUUCCAUUUUGGGAGUUGCAAAAGUCGAGAAGCGCGUUCCUCUUACUCUAGUGAUUGGCAUUAUUAUCGAACAAGGUUGCUUGCAAUCAGCAUAUGGACUUCAUACAUUUAGAAUUGAAAGCAUUUCCCGUGGAAGAGCAACACCUGUAGAUGAAUUACAGGUUCAAGGCAUCUCUAAUCCAGGGUAUUUGAGAAAGGUUAUCGUGGCAGAAGCUUCAAAGCUCAUACUAGUUGGUAGAGGUCGGAAAUUUUCAACUGAUCAGUGGGAGAGAGAAAGUACCUCAAUGCGUGGUGGUCUUAUUACAUCGCCGUUU